ACUUCGCCGGUAGCCUCAAGAGUAUGUCGACGACGACAUCCUCAGGUAUACUUUCAGCCAUUGUUUGGGCAAAACAGAAACAGGAGAGAUCUCGGACGCGGUCGAUUGGGUCGGCGAUGGCCCGUAGCCGGCUUUCUCGAGAGGUCCCAAGGCCACCGCCUGACACGGGUGGACUCGCCGGCGUGGGCGGCGGUCGCGCGGUGGAGCCCGGCAGCUGGGCGGAGGCAAGGCGGAGGAGGAGGAGGAGAGAGCUGGCGUGGAAUUUUCAAUUGGGCAUAUUCCCAACUUUCCUGAAUUUUAUGAAACCCUAGAAAUUGCUGCCUUCUUAUGUUAUAUAAUAUGUUGUCUCGUUUUGUGCAUUUCCCAUAAUAUCCUUCGCAAGACAAAGCGUCCCAUCAUGGCAUAGAAGGGCCAUAACGUACAUUCACACUUUAUUUCUCUCUCCAUAUGGAUCGACAAAAGUUUAGUGGCGACAUGCACGGAUCAGUGUUUGGUGGCAUGCUAGAAUGUCCCUUAACACCUACAUCAAAAAGGAAAUAUGAGAUGAUCCGUAAUAUUCUUGAUUUUGUUGUCAUUAUAUUUGCAAUCAUCUCAAUCUUGAUUGAGAUAUUUUAGUCUUCUUUCUUGAUUUGAAACCUCCUUCUUUACUCACAGGGGGACAAACCAAACAUUCGUAUUCGCAACCUGAUAUGAGCAACCAAGAUUGUUUCGACCAACUGACAAGUACUUUUAGUCAUCACACGACUUAAGUUUAGCCACUGCAGAGGAUGUUUAACAAGGAUAUCUUCAAGAAAAAAUAUCAUACUAUCCUUUUGUUUUGAAUAUUGGUCAUGUCUAUGGUCUAAUUGAUCAUUCUAAUUCAAGUAAAAAGGAGGACAAAAGAACAAAAAUAUACCUGAGUGGUUCUUGUUUGCCCAAAGGGAAUUUUACUUAGAAUUAGCACUAUGUUCAUAAAGUCAAAUCACAAAAGAACAAGAUAUCCUCAAUUACAACAGGGUACGUAGAGAAGUAUCUAACUCGAGAAACAGAAGCAGACAUUCAAGGUUAAACCAAUGGGAUGAAAAACUAUUACGAUGAAUGUACACAGUUCUAUAAACAUUGCAAUGAAAGAGUUUCAUAUAGGCUAUGAAGAAGUUCAAACUCUUUUGAGUUUAUGUAGGUCUGCAACAGUGGGUUUCUGUAAUUUCUGACACAGCUGAUUUGUGGCAUAUGCAAUGUCAGGUCUUGUUAAAGUCAGAUACUGAAGGCCACCUACUAAGCUUCGGUACUCGACAGGAUUGGCAAGUGGAGCAGAAUCAUUUAUCAGAACAGUCGGUUUUAGUGAUAUAGGAGUAGUAAUUGGUUUGCACUCAAGCAUAUGAGCUCGAGUAAGAAGAUCUCUGGCAUAUUUUGUCUGACAAAGAAAUAGGUAAUCAGAAGUAUUCUUGACUUCAAUGCCAAGAAAGUAAUGUAAUGGGCCAAGAUCUUUCAUAUAGAACUGAAGACUUAGAGGAUGGAUGAGGUUGGAAGGAACUGAGAGGAGCUUCCAGUCAUGAUAAUGUCAUCAACAUAUAGUAGUAGAAGGAUGGUGUAUGUAUCUUUAUGAUAGAUGAACAAUGAUGGGUCAGUUGAGCUGCAAAAGAACCCAUAUUCAAGUAGAAAGUUACUGAACUUGUCAAACCAGGUUCGAGGAGCUUGUCGAAGUCCAUAGAGAGACUUCCUAAGUAGACAUACAUAAUGAGGAUUGUUGGGAUCUUGAAAGCCAAGAGGCUGCUCCAUGUAAACUAUCUCAUUCAAUGUACCAUGUAAGAAUGCAUUUUUGACAUCUAAUUGAUGAAUUGGCCAGUGUUUCAUCAUGGCUACAGAUAGAACUAUACGAAUUGUAGCAUGUUUGACAACUAGACUAAAUGUUUCUGUAAAGUCAAUGCCCUCUUCUUGAUGAAAUCCUUUAGCAACCAGUCAAGCCUUAAGUCUAUCAAGGCUACCAUCAGCUGCAAGCUUUGUUUUAAAUACCCACUUAUAGCCAAUGACAUUCAUUUGAUCAGUUCGAGGAAUUAAUUCCCAAGUUUUGUUCUAAUAAAGUGCAUCCAUCUCUUUUGUCAUUGCUUUAUACCAGCCUUUAUGUGCUAAGGCUGAUUUGAUUGUUCUUGGUUCAAUAGGUACUUCAUAUAUAGCAAGACAUGCAUACCGAGGAUUGGUCUUGAUGAUGCCAGAUUUAGACCUAGUCUACAUAGGGUGAGUAGGUAAUGUACCUUGUGAAUCUAUCUGAUUAUUUGAAGUGUGUAGUUCCAUAGCUAGUUCAUCUGUUGUUUCAGUUAUGGGAACAGGUACUUCAACUUGUUGUGGACAAUCCUGAGUAGUGGUGGAUACUUGAUCUAUAGGAAAUUCAACUGGAGAGACAGAAACUGCUUGUUCUGUGCAUUCAGGUGAGAUCACCCCAUUUGUUUGCUUAGCUGUGGCUUCUUGUUCCCAAUCUGUAUACUAAGAAGUUGAAUGUUUUAUGUGAUUUGUAGUGGAGGAAGCUAGGAACUGUUCUUCUUCUGUCCACAGUUUAUACAAGUGUGUGUAGGAAGGAUAAACUCUUGCUAACUUCUGAGAGAAUGGGAAGAAAUUCUCAUCAAAUACUACAUGUCGACUAAUGUAGACAUGACCAGUAGUAGGGAGAAGGCAUCGAUAUCCCUUAUAGUGAUCACUGUAUCCAAGAAAGACACAGGUUAGUGAACGUGGAUCAAGCUUAUUCUGUGCAUAUGGUCGAAGACAGGGAUAGCAAGCAUAGCCAAAGGUUCUAAGAUGGUCAUAUCUUGGUUUCUGCUGAUAUAAUUUGCUGAAGGGAGACUGCAUCUGUAAUUUUUGAGUAGGAAGAAUGUUAACAAUACAGUUGGCUGUUACAAAUGCAUCUACCCAAAAUUUUAAUGGAAUUUUUGCAUGGUAUAGCAUAGCCAGACCAAGCUCAACUAUAUGUCAAUGCUUCCUUUCAGGUAUCCCAUUCUGCUCAGGUGUAUAUGGACAUGACAUAUGCUGUUGAAUGCCACAGUUCUAUAAGUGAGUUUUGAAUUUUUGGCUAAUAAACUCUCCUCCACCAUCACACUGGAAGGUCUUGAUUUUACAGUUAUGCUGAUUUUCGACUAACUUUUGAAACAUGAGAAAAACACCAUAGAAAUUUGACUUCAGCUUUAAUGGGUAUAUCCAACUAAACCGAGAGAAAUUGUCAACAAAAAUGACAUAAUACUUGAAACUCUGAAAAGACUUAACUGGAGAACGUCCCCAUAUAUCACAGUGAAUUUGUUCUAGAGGCUUUGUAGCUGUAGAAUUUGACAAUGGAAAAGGUAGAGCUGUACUCUUAGCUAUUUGGCAACUUCUAAAUACAGACUGUGAUUCUUUGUUAUACUGAAUCAGUUUUUGAUUCCUCAACUGCUUCAAGAUAUUAUGAUUUGUAUGAGCCAGUCGUUGAUGCCAGAUACUCUUUGCAACAAUUCUUUGUCUUUGUGUGAAAUAGACUUCUACAGCAUGAGGGUCUACUCUGUACAACCCUCUAACCUUCCUUCCUAGCUUCAUGGUUGUGUUGGUGAUGCUGUCCUUGAUGUACACACCAGUUUUGUCAAAAAUAAAGGAACAUGGGUAAUCAUCAGUGAAUUUUGACACUGAUAGAAGGUUUUUCUUAAUCUCAGGAACAAUCAACACAUCAUUUAGAGGCAAGGCAUUAAUUGCAGUAUUCAAUAUUGCAUUACCAAUGUAUUUGACAGGUAAACACAGACCAUUGCCUAUCAUGACUGUAUCAGCAUUGUUAUUUUUAGAAAGACUAUGGAGUAUGCCAGCAUUAAAGGUAAUAUGGGCUAUAGCUCCAGUGUCUGGAUACCAGUCUUGAUCAUUUGCCUCCUCGAUAUGUAGUGCUGCUAGUGCUAUUGGUAUCUCCUCAGCUUGAUAGGAGUUAUCAAACCGAUAACAACAAUGUAAGGCAUCGUGACCAGGCCUCUUACAGGUUUGACACUCAAGUCGAGUGUGUUAUGCUGGUUUCUCCAUUUGUACCUUUUUGUGAGGAGUUGAAUUUGAUGCAGGAUAUGACCUGAUAUCAUAAUACCUUUGUGCUGAUACAUUGUAUGGUCUAAAACCUUGAACAGUACCCAAGCUAGAGGAGGUAUUAAAUUGUUUGAACUGCUGAUUUUCUUGUUCAUAGUUUGAGUUAUUAUUUUUGUAACCCAUGUUUCUUCUAGGAUAACCAAAGUUUAUGUAUCUGGCAUUAUAUGUCCUUCCUCUUCCAUAAUUUCUUCCUCCACGAUUAUUUAUUCUUGAUCCUCUAGGAAUAGUAUCCUGUUGUAUAUAUUAUUUGUCAGCCUCUUCUUUAUGUAUAGCUUCAGUUUUCCUCUGGCCAUAGUAGGCUAGGUUAGGACUAAACUGGUUUAAAGAAUAAUUCUGUAGCCUGGCUUCGAAUCUUUCUAAGUGUGAGAUUACUUCAUCAUAUUCUGGUUGGGGCUUCAAGCAAUAGAUUGUAGUUUUAAAACUUUCAUACUCAGAUCCCAGACCUUCCAGAACUCCAAAUAGUUUUGUGAUUUCAUCAACUGGUUUUGCUAUGGCAUUCAACUGAUCACAUAUUGACUUGUACUCCCUGAGGUAUGCUGAUAAUGUUUGCUCACGUUUCUGGCAAGCCUGCAGUUUUCCACUUAACUCGAACUCCUUAGCUACUGAUUUUUGUGUUAACCGAUUUAACAGAGUUUGCCAAACUUCAUAAGUAGUGUUUAAACCAAUUAUCAGGCUAAGUAUAUUUUCUGACACUGCACCACUAAUCCAAGAAGAAACAAGCUGAUCUGUUUUUAUCCAGUCAUUAUAAUCAGGAUUAGGAAUCUCAUAAGUUUGACCUCCUUCUUCGAUCUGUAAUGUCUUUGCAGGUGGUGAAAUUUCCCCAUUCACAAAACCAAACAAAUCUUGGCUCCUCAAGAAUCUAUAGAACUGAGCUUGCCAUAGGAGGAAAUUAUCCUCAGCUAAUUUGAUGGUGACAAAAUUCGAGAUAUUAACAUGAAUAGGAAACGGAUAUCUCAUGCUGCCAUUUUAUUCUUUUUGAUCUCUGAUCGACUCUAGUUGCAGACACAAGUUCUACUGAUUUGCAGUAUGCUGCUACAAGUAUAUUGAUGAUGAAGAUUUAGAUGUGAAUGAACAAUUACCAACUCACAGAUCUUGUUGGAAGAUAUAGAUAUCUUCAGAGAUCAAAAGAAGCUUCGAAUCUACCUUCGAUCUGGUGUAGAUCUAACUAUUCUGUGCAGCAUCAAGAUGAUUUCUUCAGGAUGCAGAUGCUCUGAUACCAUGAAGAAGUUCGUGCAAAAAGGAACUUGAGAUGAAGAAUCAAUAGAGAGAAUUUGCAAUGAAAGUCUUCUUUCUUUUAUCUAUCAUUUCAUCAUAUCUACAAUCAAACGAGAAAUAGCCUUUUAUACACAAGGACUAUCUCCUGAAUCUGUUUUACAGGUAUUGAAUCAGUUGAAGAAAUAUAACUAACUAACUGAAGCAAGAAACUAACUUCCAAAGCUAAAGUAUACUAGACUAACUACCGAGACUGGUCAAGACUUGCAACACUUAUACAGAGUUUCGAAACAGGUUCUCUUUUCCUUCUUCUUAUCAGCAUAUCUUUUCAGCUGCAUGUACAUUCUUUACUUCCUCUGCUUCAUAUGUUUUCUCUCCAUUGCUCUUGUAUAUCUUGCUUCCCCUGUUCUUGCUUCCCAUGUUCUUACUGGCAUCAGUAAUAGCAUCAGUGAGGGAGCUUCUGUUCUUGUUGUUCUUAACAGGCUAAACCUUUUGCACCAUUUCACAUCAUGCGGGAUUUUGCCAUCACCAUCCCUUUGAAUAGAUAACUCACAUCUUGGUACGUGGAUUCAAUAGUUUAUUUGGUAAUUAGGGAAUAACAUCAUCACCAAUUUCUAUAACUGGAGACUACAUUGUGCUUUGAUCCCAACGUUAUGUCUAUCAAGCUGUGCGCGCAAAUGCAGCCCAAUCAGAGGAUGGGUCAUUCCCGAAAUCUUGCACAGCAAUAGUACAGAGAGUACUCAACAAGGCAAAAUUCAAAAAGAGUCACUGAUGCUGACUAUAGUAUUACAAGAUAGUUCAUUCUCGAAUUCAGUUGGCACAAAGCUUAGCGCACGAGUAUCCACAUUCCGGUCAAGCACAAUAAAACUCAAACUCUACUUUCCGUCUCUCAUCAUUCUAGCAAAACAAAGAUGAUCGAAUGACCAUUCAUCGAGCAGACAUCUGACCCUACAUCUGGACAGAAUACUAAAAGCACGAUAAACUUACUAAAGACGCUCUAUGUUUUUUCUUCAAAAUCCACCAGAUCAUUCAACAGCUCCACCGCCAAGGUAGGGAGAAAUAAGAGUUUCCAAAUAGAUGGCAUAUUCGGUAACACCGGCCAUCCCUAAGUGAUAAUCCUUGUAAGUAUUAUCCUCCAGAUUAAACAGAAUCAUCUGCCUCUUUUCCAUCAAAAAAACAAAUUUUCCACUCCUUGUGUACGCAAGGGGGAUCAUCCCAGAGAAGGUAUUACAAUUUAUGAAGGCACUGCAAUCAAUAUUGAACCAUUUUGCGCACGGUGCUCCUAUCCCGUACUCAUCUGUUAUCCAUGCCUCAAUGCGGAGAUCAUGGGCACCGUUGUAUAUGAACAGAUUCGCCCCGUGAAUCUCAAGUCCCAGGAGUCGUGUGUCCUCAUCGACUUCAGGGACUGGAAGCACCCGGUGAAAUUUCUCUUCCGACAAGUCAAAUGACAUAAUCGCAGAUUCGCCCGCAUCAUAUACGUGCCCAUAGAAGUGCCCAUAGACGUGCCGAUAGACGUGCCAGUGUAAGGCCCCUUUCCAAUAAACUCCUUGGCCGCACAAAUCGAGUUCCUCGUCUUGGAACGGAACUUCUAUCAUCCUCCAGGAACAGGAUUUGAGCGAAAAUAUUGCCACCUUCCCAUUUUCAACUUCAACAACAUCCCCUACUACUAGAGCUGGCGUGGAAUUUUCAAUUGGGCAUAUUCCAACUUUCCUGAAUUUUAUGAAACUCUUGAAAUUGGUACCUUCUUAUAUUAUAAUAUCCUUCGCAGAACAAAGUAUCCCAUCAUGGCAUGGAAGGGCCAUAACGUACAUUCACACUUUAUCUCUCUCUCCCCCCAUAAAGAUCAAAGAGUAAAUCGACAGAAGUUGUGAAUUACACAUUUCGUGGAUCUUGGACAGAAAAUAUAAACUAUAAGAAAAUUAAAGGUCUUAAGAUUGAGAAUAAUCGUCACCGGCCAUGUAAAGAUACCUGUAAUAUCCAAAUAAAUAGGUUGAUAAAUUUAAAUAUUUGGCAUUUUUUGAUUGAUCGAUAGUCAUAUAAAUUAAAAUUCAAGUAUUUAUAUAUAUAAUCUACAGUUAAUAAACGUGUAAGAAGAACGAUACCAGUUGUAUGUGCUUUAGUCAAUCUAACAUUCCUUUCUCACAUAUGUGGGAUUGUAGAUUCUACCAUCUAUGGGUUAUACUCCUUUCACCGACGAUUACCUCUUUUGACAUUACACUUAAAUCUGUCGAUUUUAUCACUUGAUGAUUACUUCUCUAAGAAUUGCAUCUUGGUCGAUUGUUUAUCAUGUUCUCUCUUCCCAAGUCAUUUUUUUUUCACUACCUAAUGAUCUUGUCGAGAUCGUCUUGUGAAACAUUUGGGAACUUGUGUUUGGCUCACAACCGGGAGUUCGAGUUGAAGAUCACUAGAUGUUGUCAAGAGUGACUCCCUCAAAUGAAGCACUCAAUUUUUAUACAUGGAUUGCAAUUUGCGUAGGCCAUGAAUUCAUCUUUCGACUACCAAUUGUGUUUUUCAACUAGUUAGUUUUAACCACAAAGGGGCACCAUUCCAUUGUGAUGGGGCCUUGUAACCGAAAGUUAUUUCCAUUAUCAACAAAAUGAUGAAGCAUAAAUUGUUACUAAUCGUGAAAACAUUUUUUUAUUUAACUUAUUCUUUUGAGCGGUGAUAAUGAUCCGAAACUCUAAAAUAUCUUUUGAAUUAUUGAUAUCCCGCAAAACAAAAAGAUAUUAGAUUUUUAAUUACAUCUACGAAGAGAUUAUAGCGAUGCUUAUGAAAUUCAUUUGCGAACAGUUGAACAAAAUAAAUGAACUACAGAUUAGGUUUCUAUCAUGUCCAUAAACGAUAACGUAAGGAAGCCAUGCACAAACACCAUAUAGAAAUGUUUGCUCGAUUCACAUCUUCGAUUUGCCAAACUACAUCUCAAUAGAUGGAUGCAGAACAAUUCGACGACCCACCGGAAGAUCCUUCUCCCCUUCAACCCUCCGAGAUCGGUCGCCUUGGAGAAAGUCAUUCGCAGCAUUGACGACGCCGCAACCACUGUGCUCCAUCAUCCACUCAAACUUUCGAGGUUCGAGGCUCGAGCUCCGAAUUUAUGUCGCUCGAACCCUGAAUCGUUAGCGUUACGGAAUGCGACUACCAGGGAGUCCUGCAAAAUCCCAAACCCAAAUGCGAAUCUUCUGCUUUUUGUCGACUUAUGGUUAAAAGAUUUGCGAAGCCUACUUUUACAGUUCUCUUGUUAGAAACGAGUCUCUCUCGAAUCACUAGAUAAGGUUGCCGUGUGCUUGCUUUAACAUUCACAUGAGUUAGUCGAAUGUUCACCACAUAACGAGACCCAGUAAAUUGUUGGUGAAGUUACACGAAAUCGGAUCGGGCAACAUUAGCAAAACAAAGAUGAUUGAGUGGCCGUUCAUCGAGCAGAGAUCCAACCCUAAAUCUGGAGAGGAUAGAGUACUGAAAGCAUAAGGAAGUUACUAAAGAAUGACCAGAUCUUAUAAUCGACUAUCAAGACUCUUUGUUUAUUUGUCAAAUUCCAUAAGGUCGUUCGACAUCUCAAGAUGGCCACUCAUUGCCAAGAUAGGGAGAAACAAGAGUUUAUCGGAUAAUUCUUUUAAGUAUCACCCUUAGGAUUGAACAGAAUAACCCGGUCCACAUCCAUCAAAGAAACCAUUUUUCCACUCCUUGUUUACGCGAGGAGGGAAUGCCAAGAGGCAGCUAUGCAAUCAAACCUGAACUAUUUUGUCCACGACCCGCCACACUCAUACCUUAUCCAUGCCUCGAUGCGGCAGUCACGACCAUGGCGGUCACAGGUGCUACCAUAUAUGAACAGACUAGCCUGUGAAUCACAAGUCCCAUGAAAACUAUGUCCCUGACUUCAGGGACCGAAAGCUUCCGAUGGAAUUUCUCUUCCGACAAAUCAAAGAACAUAAUCUCGGUCCUAUGAUUUAGGCUUUUGGUCAAAUGACAUACCAGCGUAAGGCCUCGUUCCAAUAAACUCCUUCACUAGAAACCUCGAGGUGGCUUUCUUCAUCAAACUGGACUUGUAUCCUUCUCCAAGAUUCGGACUUGAGAGAAAAUAUUGCCACCUCCCAAAUUUCACGGAGGCCCUCUACUAUUUUGUAGUCAUCAGACCGAGAGUCAUAUCUAAAUCCAUAGAAUAACCAUUUUGUCGAUAUAAAUCGGAAACGGGCAACUCUCUAUACUCCCUGGUGGUUGGGUUAUAUAUGACCAAAUUACAACAAGGUGCUUAGAGGAGUAUCUGACUCCAAGAAUAGAACCGAUGUUCAAGGUAAGACCGAUGGGGUGAAAAACUAUUACAAUGAAUGUAAACUGUUCUAUAAACAUGGCGAUGAAACAGUUUCAUCUAGGCUUAACCUUUCACACCGAUUCACAUCAUGCAGGAUAUUGCCAUCACCAACCCUUUGAUUAGAUAGCUUGCGUCUUGGUACGUGAAUUCAAUAGUUUAUUCCGUAAUUGAUUAGAGAAUAGUAUUAUCACUAUUUUCUAAGAAUGGAGAUUACACUUCGCAUUGAUACCAAUAGUAUGUUUAUCAAGCUGUGCGAAUGCAGCUCAAUGAGAGGAUGGGUCAUUUUCGAAAUCCUGUACAACAAUAGUAUACAAAGUGCUCAAUAAGACAAAAUUCGAAAAGAGAAUGGAAAAGGAAAAAAAAAAAAUAACAACAAAGGAGUGAUAAUCAUGUUAGACAUGAAAAGCCACUGAUGUUAACUACAGAAUUACAAGAUGGUUCAUCCUCGGAUUCAGUUGGCACAUAGCUUAAGUACGAGAGAAUCCAUACUCCAGUGAAGCAAAUUGAAACUCAAACUCUACUUGUUAUCUCUUCUAGCAAAACAAAGAUGAUUGAAUGGCAAUUCGUCAAGCAGACAUCUAACCCUACAUCUAACCCUACAUAUGAAGCGGACAGAGUGCUAAUAACACAAUUAAGUUGAUAAAGGACAGACUUUCAAUGCUCUCUGUUUCUUCUUCAAAAUCCACAAGAUCAUUCAACAGCUCCACCGACCUUUUUUUGGGGGAGUUUGCGUCAGAAAAAGUGCCGGUUCACUUAUACUUUUAAAGUAUGUUCUAAAAUAUAAAUUAAGCCUUUAAUUUCUAAUGAAAGAACUAUUAAAACUGGUGUAGGAAUAAAAUAGCACAAUAAUACAAAGCUUACAAGAAAGGAAAUAAAUAUCAUAAAAUUCCUUCUAGGUCUAGUGCUAAGAGUCUAAAAAAUAAAAGGAUUAUCUGGACUACUAUUUCGUGUAUUAUGAGCUCUUCUAGAAAUACGAGUACGUCCUCCAUGUAAGCAAUAUUGAUGUCUGGCUACAAACUUAGUAUUAAAAUGUUAUAGACUAAUCUGGAUAUUACCUAAAAAUUCUGGGUAAUUAACUUGGGCUAGUGUGAAAGAAUUAAAACUAUAUGUGAGCUCUUCUAUUAGUUCUGCUGCUACUAUGCAAUGAAUGUAAAGAGGACAGUGAGAUGUCAUGCAAGAGCGGGUGCUUAUGGGAGUUAAUUUAAUGAGACUUAAUCCUGCUCGGUACUAGGCUCAUCUUCAUUUUUAAGCUAAGUUUCCACCAAAUCAAAGACCUAUACCCUUAUGUUCUUAUAUCCAACCUAUCUUCCAGGUUAUAAUGGAUCAGCGCUUCCGUUCCUGCAGGCUGCCUACUGUGACAAGGGUAUCCCACACCCUAUCUUCCUCCUAUCUUUGCCUACGGUCAGAACGGGUACUUUCUUCCGCCUCCUGCGUACUUAUUUCCCCUUCGAGGACCUCUGGGCUAACUUUGGAAUAACUUUGGGUGUUUCAAAAUCCUACCUAUUAUCAGACGGGUUGAUAAUAGUUUCAUGCAGGAAUGAAAUGCUGAGCAUGAUAACAUGGAAGAAAAUUUGGAUAUAGAACAAGCCUAUAUAGGCUUUAAGUAAUUGGAAACGUACAUUGGAAGAUAGCCGUUCCCUUUCGGGAAGGCCUCGACUAAGCAAAGAAACUUUUGCAAGAACUCGGAGACCUCGGGCUGAACUUCUUCUUUAUUGCGAAAAGGAAAAUUUACAGGAUGGGAGUGAUUACAAGGGCGGUUUGCGGAAGAUCACAGCUUAAGGAUGCUUGUGAGCUUCUGAAAACCGGUGCCUACAACUAAUGCCGGAGUAUGGCUUAUAUAGCCAUCUCAAAAGAAUAAAGAUUACAUAAUUUUCUUGCGGGAGAAGAAAAGAAGAAUAUCCUUUUUUACCAAAAAAAAAAGUUCCUACUGGAUUCUGCUUAGGUGUCCAGGUUAUGCUCCGCGAUAGUGUCUAAAGACGCUGGCGUGGCUGGACUAUCGUGUUCUCUGUCUUCACGCUCUAAAGUAUUUCCACUAACACUUUCUUCACUGGAAAGAUGAGUGUCGUGAAAUCUCCGGUCCUGUGCUAUGGCCUCUUGCAUUAAAGCUUCUUUAACCAAGUCUCCCAUCAACUCUUUAAGCUGUUUCUUCCGGUGGAAAUUCUCUUCCCACAAAUCAAAUGACAUAAUCUCGGUCCUAUGAUUUAGGCUUUGGUCAAAGACGCACCAGUGUAAGGCCACGUUCCAAUAAACUCCUUCGCCAGAAACCUCGAGGCGGCUUUCAUCUAACUGGACUUGUAUCCUUCUCCAAGAUCCGGACAUGAGAGAAAAUAUUUCCACCUCCCAAUUUUCAUGGAGGCCCUCUACUAUUUUGUAGUCGUUAGAGCGAGAGUCAUAUCCAAAUCUAUAGAGUAACCCAUUUUGUCGAUAUAAAUCGGAAACAGGCAACUCUCUAUACUCCCCGGUGGGCAGGUUAUAUUUGACAAAAUUACAGCAAGUUGCUUAGAUGAGUAAAUGACUCCAAAAAUAGAACCGAUGCUCAAGGUAAGACCGACGGGAUAAAAAACUAUUACAAUGAAUGUAAACCGUACAAUAAACAAUGUGAUGAAACAGUUUCAUCUAGGUUUAACCUUUCACACCGAUUCACAUCAUGUAGGAUGUUGCCAUCGCCAACCCUUUGAAUAGAUAGCUUGCAUCUUGGUACAUGAAUUCAAUAGUUUAUUCCGUAAUCGAUUAGGGAAUAGCAUUAUCACUAUUUUCUUUAAAUGAAGAUUACACUACACAUUGAUACCAAUAGUAUGUUUAUCAAGCUAUGCGAAUGCAGCUCGAUGAGAGGAUGAGUCAUUUCCGAAAUCCUGUACAGCAAUAGUAUACAGAGUGCUCAAGAAGACAAAAUUCGAAAAAAGAAUGGAAAAGAAAAAAUACAAAAACAAAAGAGUGAUAAUCAUGUUAGACAUGAAAGGCCACCGAUGUUAACUACAGAAUUACAAGAUGGUUCAUCUUCGAAUUCAGUUUGCACAAAGCUUAAGUACGAGAAUAUCCACACUCCAGUGAAGCAAAUUGAAACUCAAACUCUACUUGUUAUCUCUUCUAGCAAAAUAAAGAUGAUUGAAUGGCAAUUCGUCAAGCAAACAUCUAACCCUACAUAUGGAGCGGACAGUGCUGAUAGCACUAUUAAGUUGAUAAACAACAGACUUUCAAUGCUCUUUAUUUCUUCUUCAAAAUCCACAAGAUCAUUCAACAGCUCCACUGACAAGACAGGGAGAAACAAGAGUUUCCAAAUAGAUUGCAAAUUCGAUAUUGCAGCCCCCAUCUAUGGGAUAAUCCUUGCAAGUAUUAUCCUCUGGAUUAAAUAGAAUCAUCCGCUUCAUAUCCAUCUGGAAAACGAUUUUCCACACCAUGUGUACGCGAGGGGGUCCUUCCUAAGGGGGGUAUUCCAAUUAAUGAAGGCACUGCAAUCAACACCGAACCAUUUUGUCCACGAUGCUCCUCUCCUGUACCCAUCUGUAAUCCAUGCCUCGAUACGGGGAUCACAGGCGCUGUCAUAUAUGAACAGAUUGGCCCCAUGAAUCCCGAGUCCCAGGAGAUGUACGUCCUCAUCGACUUUAAGGACUGGACGUACCGACGAAAUUCCUCUUCCAACAAAUCAAAUGACAUAAUCACAACUUCACACUUGUUGUCUAUGCUCCAGACAUGGCCGCACCAGUGUAAGGCCCCUUUCCAAUAAACUCCUUGGCUGUAAAUUAUGACAUCACUUUGUUCCACCUCCUGGAACUGGACUUCUAUGCUUCUCCACGAACUAGACUUGAGCGAAAAUAUUGCCACCUCCCAAUUUUCAUCACUAGAAACAUCUGCUGCUACUAUUUUGUUGUCAUCAGAUUAAGAGUCAUAUCAGAAUAUCUGACUUCACCAAAUGACUCAGUUUGAUGAACAAAACCAAAAUCGGACAACUCAAUAUACUCCCUGGUGGUCAGGUUAUGUAUAAGAAAAUUGCUAGGGCCAAACAUACCAGGCCAUCGGAGGACCCCACGAUGCGGGGCUUCCAGAAAGGUUUGAUCGGAUGAGGUACCACCAUGGGACCCUCACCGUCGUUUAGCGCUUCGUAGUUUACAGUCUCGAGCAGGCUCGAGCAGGCUCGAGCAGGCUUCUUUUAAUAGUAUUUUAAUAAUGUUUUCCAUGAUAUUAGUGGAUGUUAUUUGAACAUUCCCUUUUCUAUUUAUCUCAACAUUUCGUACAGAGAUUAUUAUAUUGGCAUUUUGCAAAUUUCCCAUAAUAUCAUUCAUAGAUCAAAGUGUCGCAUCUUAGUAGAUCAAAUACUCGUAUUUCUCUGACUUGUCCUCCCUUUUCUUAUGAGCUUUAUCGACGUUUUUUGUUUUUCUUAUUUUUGUGUUGGUCGACAACUAUAGGGCCUAGCUAACACCUCUUCAGAAAAGAUGAACUCGGGAAAUUGCACUUGGAAUGAAGGACACAAGCUGUACAUUAUUGGAAAAUAGACUUGAAGGCUCGUUGUGAUUCGUAGAUUGCAAUUGCAAUUUUUCGAGUUUAAUUAGGCCUUGAACCAAGCAGAAGAAACCAAGGGAACAAUUACCAAGAGCAUGGAUGAUGUGGAUUUUGAUAGGUUUGUAGGUUCUAGGCCCUUCAAGACCAUAGACUACAAAGCGCUGGACGGCUACAGCAGGUGGAAUUAUCGAUUUAGUUCCAAGGGAACUCCACUUGGUAAAGUGACAGUGAGGUAUUUUGAAGAAGUAUCUAAUCAACGAACAGAACUAAGGUAAAACUCAUGAGGUCAAAAACAUCACAAUGAUUUCAAAUUGUUCUACACACAUUGUGGUAAAAGGACAUCAUCCAGGCUAAAUCUGUCGCAUCGUAAUGCGUCAUCAUAUGUGGAUUUCAAUCAUUUAUACGACAAUCAACUACGAAAUUUCAAUAUCACCAGUUUCUUUAAUUGGAGAAACUACAAAUAUGGUUUGGUGCCAAUGGUACAUUUUUCAUGCCGUGCGAGAGUAGCCCGAAUAGAGGAUGGGUUAUUCACGAAAUCUUGUUCAACAAUAGUAUGCUGAUUAUUAACUACAGCAAGUAAAAGAUGGUUCUUACUCUAUUUCAGCUGGCACAAAGUCUCAAGUGUGUGACUUUUCUGGUCCAAGCGUAACGAAAAUUGAACUCUACUUUGUUGUCUCUCACAAAAGCUUAUUCUUCCUGUUUGAUGCAAUCUUAGUACUUCAUGAUUCCAUAGCACCAUCCUUCGAAGGCAAGCCAAGGAUUCGCAGAUUGUGAUCCAUCUAUCCGAUUGCAAUGUACUUUGAAUCCAGACGAACUUAACGCUUGUCAUUUUACCUACAAUUGCAACUAGAAUGAAUGUCACGUUUAGAGUCUCUUCAAUAACCAUCAUGUUUUUUUCUAUUUUUUUGUUCUUUUGUUCCCUAGAGCAUUAAAAGAAUAUCAACUAAUUUUUCUAUUUCUUGAAAAAGAAAAAUGAUCAGGGAAUAGAUUUGAAAUAAAACUAAAAAAAAAAAAAUUAUAUUUCAUUGUUUUUGAGAAUAGAAAUUGAUAAUUCUAUUUCUGAAUAGAAUUUGUUUCCGAGAAUAGAAACAUUACCAGAUGUACCACGUGCAAGAUUUCAAAGGAGGAGAAAAGUAGGAGGAGAGGCAGAGAUGACCUAUCCCGAAUAGACCAGGGAAAAACUUGAUACAAUUUACUCUAAUUUUAUACUUGAUAUACUCUGGCAAAGCACAAAAUAUUUAAGUUAUUCCCCAAAGCAGCUUGCACUACUAAACGAAACAGGAGGAAAGCAGUAUAACAAUACGUUGUGAUUCUAGACAUGCACUUCCACUGGACAGAAGAAUAGAAGAAUACAAAGUAUCUCGAUCUCGAAUACUUAAGAGGUGAAAUAAUCCUCCUAUUAACCUUACCAGAAAAAAAAAAUUUAAUCCUCCUAUUAGUGCAUAGAGUUAUGGUGCUCUCGGAAAAACUAUGGAAAUUUUAUGAGGGUAGAAAGGUUUCAAGAGAAUUCAGACUUUUGAAUUUCUCACUUUUUCUAACCUUAUGUUUGGUGGAAUUUUGUUAUAAGCAAAUUAUCAGAAACACACUUGCUUUCUUUUUUCAGAUAAUAUUUUCAGCUACUGGAGAAAUUGAAAAAAAGGCAAAUACAAUGAAAAUAAAGAACAGGUAAAUAUUCUGUAAACAAACACAUCCUUUAUUACCUUAUUAUUUUCAGAAUUUGCGUACAAAAUCUACCAUAGAAACUCACAUUAUAUUUGAGCCAGCAAGUGCAAGAUAACAUCCACUAUGAUCAAAUCCAACUGCAAAAUAAGAGAGAGACCCAGUCAUAGUUAUAUUUGCACAAAUAAUUUACACUCACUAAGCCAACCCUCCUCCCGCUUCCCUCUCCUCCCCUCCUUCCUCCCCUGUCUCUCUUUCCUUUUUCUUUUUCUUAUUUUUUCCCUUUGUAAAAGAAGAGAAAAUAGAACCAAUAUAAUGUAUAAUCUUCUUUGAGGGAGCUCUAUAGAAAAAGUUCACUCUUCAUAACAAAUCCAGGCAAACAAGGAGGCAUCCAUUGCUCACUGCCAUCCCAGAUCUACUUUCACUACAACAAGCAGGGCUAAGAGGGCUAAGAGGGUGUUAUACCAGAACCUGUCUCUAUGUCUUGUCAUAUGCUGAAAAUGUGCGAAAGUUCUUCAACUUCCGCAAAUCCCACAACUUAACCCCAACCCGAGCUUCAGUCUAUGAAAUAAAUGUCCAAGUCAUAUGGCAUGUCCAAAAUCUCUAUUGAUAAUAAAAGAGAGAUCAGAGGAACAUUUACCGCAAGGAAGUUUCCAUUCUUAGAGAAAGAUAUAGCAGUAAUUGCCCCGGUUGGCCAGAAAGUGUCGUAACAUUUGCCUGUUUCUAUCACACCCUGAAAAUAUCAUGAAGGGGGAUGACACAGCCGUCCUUCGACCUGAAGGACGCAAUCUCAAAGCUCCCAAAAUCCAACUCCUAAAAGUCCCCUCGUCGAUAUUGCUCUCGUAUUACUCAUCGUUAGCUGAGAAGCCUGAAAAAGAUUAGAAUAAUAAAGGGAUGAGCAACCAUAGGUUAGUGAGUAGUGCAUUUCUUCUAAAUGGAUUGAGCACCUACUAUGCAUAUUUAUAAACCAAACCGCAACUCUUUUAACUCAAAUACAUAAUAUAACAAACAUAAAAUAAGAGAAUAAGUCACAUAUGCUUUAACACAGCAGAUUCAUUUCACAAUAAUAUCAUAACAAACAUUAAUGGUCCAAUUCAUUGAUCAAUCUCAUUAAUUCACAUGCCAAUGGUCCAUUUAAUUGGUUAAUCUCAUCAAUGGUCUAAUGAAAUCAAACAUCGAUGGUUUAUUCCAACGACUAAUUUCAAAUCAUACGUCGAUGGUCCAUUUCAUCGACUAAACUCAAAUCAUAUGUCAAUGGUCCAUUCCAUAGACCAACUUCAUAUCACAUGUCAAUGGUCCACUCCAUUGACUAAGCUCAUAUCACAUGUCAAUAGUCCAAUCCAUUGACCAAUCUGUUGCUCAAUAUCAAAUCAUGGUCACGACACAACACUUAGUGACAACGUGACCAGGAUUUCCCCCUUAGCAAGGUCUCCACCUAUUAUUAACCAAUGGUUCGGCCCACAAGGGUAUCCUAGAGUAAGCAUCUUACUAGGCAUACAACGAUAUUAAGAAUCAACACCAAUCUACAACAACCUCCAUAAUUUACAAAGCCAGAUCCAAAAAUCAUUUCAUAUGUCAUAAUAUAUUUAAUAAAUCAACCACAUAACCUUUCGCAACUCAAUUUAUUCGCUACAAAUACUUUUUGUAAAAUAUUUCUCAAAUCAUUUUAGAACUCAUCUCAUAAACCAGUUUUACAAUCCAAAUCAAAUCAAAUGCUUGUCAAAAAGCUUAUCACAAAUCGAUUUCUAUAUUAACAUUCCAUAUACCAUCUCAAAGUUGACAUUUUCGUAAAAAAAAUUUCACAGACCCAAAAUAUGUCAUAUUUCUCAGCUUCGUUCAUCAAACAUAAUAUAUAUUUCGAUCGAAAAGUUCUCACUCUAUUUUCAAAUACCAAAACGUAGUAAAUAUCUGAUUCAAAUUUUAUGCAACAAAAAUGCUUAUUCAUAACUCAUAAAAUAUCAAAUCUUUAUCAUUUUAAAGACACGAGCUUAUAAAUUCUUAGAAGAAAUAGCACCACUCAUUUGGGAAAGCCGAAAAUCAACUUAUGUUGGUUACUCAAGCCAACACAUUCGUAUUCCUAUCAAUUAAUCAAAAACAAUAUCCAAACCAAGUAAUAUGCUACUCUCCAACUAAAAACUCGAUUAAAUUAUGCUUAUUCAUCGAUAAAACGAUACCUACGUGCUAAUAAACCACAUAUUCAAAGCGAUCAUUUAAGCUGUCCGCAAUGUGAAACUUGAGGGCGAAAAUUGGUCACCUCGUAACUUUCUCUACCGAACCCCGUUUCAAGCAUACUUAUAGUCAAUGGAAAGCCCUUCCAACAUAUUACAAGAACCCCAAUUUAGCCAACCUGAAAUCAAACAAAAAUCAACAAAAUAUGGUCCCAAAAUCCCGGUCGUGCUCUGUUCAUCAUGCAUGAUAAACUUUAAAAUUUUGUUUCCAGCAAACCGUAAGCUCAAAUUACGAUCCGUAAAAUCUUACAACUCCACAACACCCUAAAAUAUAAUUUCUCUAAAAAUACAUGGCUCAACGACUCAAAAAUCAUACUUCGCCACUCUAUUUUCCCAAAAUUCUGAAUUUCAAGCCCUAAGUCCAAACUUAAUUCGAUUGAAUGAAUCGCAGGGGGGCAGGGGCACAGGCACGGGUUCUUACCAGGCGUUGCAUUAUAUGGUUGAGGUGGCUUGGCAAGGCUCCCAUGGCGACAACGCAUGAAACCCUCUUUUUCUCCAUUUCCUUCUUCUCCUUCUCCUUUUCUUUACUUUCUUUCCCUUACACAAGCUCUCUGGUCUCCCUUUCUCUCUCUCCUUCUUUUCCCUUCUCUCUUUCCCUUUUUAUUUCCUCCUUUCUCUUUUUAUUUCUGUCUUUUCUUUUCUUUCCUUCUCUCUCUCUCUCUCUCUCUCUCUCUCUCUCUCUCUCUCUCAGUUUUCUGACUGGGUCAAAACUCAUAUUUUACAAUUUCAAAAUGAAAAACAGCUACAAUAGCAUGUUGCCCUACCUAAAAUGGAUAGAAGAGGAACAAUAACUGCGAAAGAAUAAAACAUGAGAAGAAGGCAGAUUCGUGGAGGUGAUUGACUUGUCUCAAAAUGAUCAAGCAAGAUUGUUGAGCUAUAACCAUGAAGAACUAAACUUACUGGAACAAUCUGGUGAAUACAAAAAUGAGGAUGCUAGUUGAAUCAUGGCAUAUGGAAUUCUGCUACUUACAUUUUCCCUCCUUUUUUCUAACAACAUGCCAAGUUGGCAUAUUGCGACUAAAUUGACCAUGAGGAACAAAAGCUGAAAAUAGACCAAGGAAUACUGCACAUGCAAAUCGUCAGGGUGGGAUGCAAGAUUGUCAUAUCAUAUUUUAUGGGGUAAGUAUACUAGAAGUGCCAAAAGUUUAUUUUGGGUCACUUAAGUGUCAAAAAGUUUGAAAAAUCAUCAUUUCAGUGGCAAUGUCAAUCUGAUUGGCUGGAAAUCCAAUGACACUUUUUUUAUUAAUUUUGAAGUCAACAUGGUUCGUCAGAAAGUACAAUCAACAUGAAAACAACAAAACAACACCGUUUGACAUCUUUCCCCAAGUAAGAACCCUAAAUCUCCAAAUUCAAAUAGAACCGGAAGUUAAAACUCUAACUGGCUAAUCCAGCGCCUACUUCAAUUUUCUCCCAAAAUUAUUAGCUCGAUCUUGCAAAUGAAGGGCAGAAGCCCUAGUAGCAGCUCACAUUCGUUCCAAAAAAGUGAAUUGGAUGGUGAGUGUUACUAUUGUUGCGAAUUACUCAGUUUGAGAAGAACAUAUUGGACUCGGUUCAAUUUGAGGAGAAGAUUCCAUGGGUGCAGGUAUAGAGAAGGCUCGAAAUACAAAUAUUUCAAAUGGGUUGAUAUGAAAUUCUUUGGUUGAGCGACAAAAGUGAUCUUUGAGCUAUUUGAAGGCCGACAUCAACCUCCACCUACAUUAAUGGACAAGUUAGAGAAUGUCGACUCAAUGCAAGCUCAAAUGAAGGUUUAAUUAAAGCUACUCAAUUCAACCUAAUCACAUCAUCGAGUGUCAAUGACUCAAGAAAUGGCAAAACAUGGGCUAAAUGAAGACAAGAGUGAACAUGAUCCACCAAUAUAUAGUCUAAGGGGCAAUUUUCCCCGCUUAAGGUUACCAAAGCAAACAAAUAGUUAAAUAACGCCAAUAGUAUGUGGAUUCAAUAGUUUAUUCGGUAAUCGAUUAGGGAUUAGCAUAGCAUUAUCACCACUUUCUUUAAUUGGAGACUACAUUGUGCUUUAAUGCCAAUAGUAUGUUUGUCAAGUUGUGUGAGUGUAACACGACGAGAGGGUCAUUUCUGAAAUCUUGUAUAGUAAUAAUAUACUGAGUAUUCAAGAAGGCUCAAUUCAAAAGGAGAAGGCAAAAGAAAAGAGUGAUAAUCAUGUUAGGCAUGAAGAGCCAUCAAGGUUAACUAUAGUAGUACAAGAUGGUCCAACUCAGAUUCAGCUAUCACAAAGCUUAAGCGAACUCUGAUUUUACAAUGGCAAUUUGAUAUACUCAGGUAAAGCACAAAAUAACAGCUCCCAAAAUAGCUAGCAUUACUAAAACGACAAAGGAGGAAAGUUGGAAUUACAGCCGGCCCUGAUCCAGGUCAUACAUUUCCACUGGACAUAAGGAUAGAAGUUUAAGAGAAUUCUACGUGAAAGUUGCCGCACAGACCUUUUAUUUUACUCCUUCUAAAGAGUAAUGGCAAGUGACAUAUGACAGUAAUGGCAAGUGACUAUGACGGUGUCAUAUGCGCCUAGAUUUUUGGCGACAUGCAAGGAGAAGUGUUUGGUGGCAUGCUAGAAUGCCCCUCAAAACCUAAAGCGAAAAGGAAAAGUUAAUGUAUUUGUUGUCAUUGUAUUUGCAAUCAUAUUCUGUUCGGUCUUGAUUAAGAUAUUUUAGUCUUCUUUCUCGAUUUGAAGCCUCCCGUUAGUAAUGGGUCCUUGUUUACUUGUAGGAGACAAACCAAACAUUUGCAGUCGAAACCUUAUAUGGGCAACCAAGAUUAUUUCGACCAACUUAUAAGUACCCACUGGUCAUCAUGCAACUUGUAUUUUACCCUUGCGGAGGUUGUCAGAGUAGGAUAUCUUCACGGAAGAAUAUCAUACUUUCCUUUUGCCUUGAAUAAUGGUCCGCCUAUGGUAUAAUUGAUCAUAUUGAUCCAAGUAAAAAGGACAACAAAAGAGCAAAAUUAUGUUUAAUAUGCAUUGACAGGUUUGACUCUUUAGCAUCCUAGAUUUUUCAGGAUCUGCAGUUUUGAAACUCGGCAUUAUUAAGAUCUCCAAAUCCUCUAGUUGAAUAAGAUCUCAAUAGACUAUUCUAAUUUUCUACUGCAAUAGCCAGACACCCAGAAUCAAUGCAACGGAUCUCUUAUUCUUACACAGAAUUUACUCAUCUUAAUUACAUUUACUGUGUCUCUAAUCAACUAUUGCAGCUACAACAACAAGGACUAAUUGUAGCAUUCAGUUCAGUGCUGAAUCUGUACAAAUCGAGAGUAAACUUGAAGCUACUCAGUCCAACCUAAUCACAUCAUUGACUGUCACUAGCUCGAGAAAUGGCAACACAUGGGCUAAAUGAAGACAAGAGUGAACAUGAUCCACCAAUAUACAAUAUAAGGGGUAAUUUUCCCCGCUUAAGGUUACCAAAGCAAACAAAUAGUUAAAUAAUGCAUGGACCAAAAUGAUGCUCUUAGCAAGGGCCUAAAGCAUGUGAAGGAUUAACCUAAUAAUGAAACAGAAAUAGUGAGGACAACCAGUUGCACUGCAUGUGGGAGUGAGAUAAAUGAUAAGUUACUCACGCUCAGAAAUACUACAUCAUAUUGUGAUCUCAAGACAAUUUAUAGCUGUAUAAGCAUAAUAACUUCACAAAUUAUAAACUAUCUUUCCUUAAACUGAAAUUAUGCGAAUGUUUGGGAUUCGUGAUGUUAAGUGUCAUGACUCAAGGGCAUGACCUUUGUCUUAAGCGAUUGAAAAGUAUAUUAAAGAUAACUUCAAGUGAUGAGUUUCAUAAUUCCCACUUAGACAGAAUCCUUAUCUGAAAUCGCAUCAACUAAAUUUCUACAUGGGAUACUUGUUCUCAAAUACAUCACUUUAUGAUAUGAAGUAAGAUAAUUGCUGGUUUUCUUGAUUAUGUGCCAAUAGGUACUACUACAUAUGCAUGAAUGACUCACUAGCACUUGGUGGUGGAUGCAACUUUGCCCUGUCCUUAAAUGGAGAUAUGUAAGUUGUCAUUUACAAAUUUCCAUUUUUCCAAUAAUCGAGAUACUUGACUCCUUUUCAUGAUAGAUUGUUUGUAUACCUUUCUAUUUUGAUGAGACUGGGAUCUUAUCAAUAGUAAUUACAUUCCUAUAAUCUGCCUUUGAGGUGACUUCUUCAGGAGGAGGUAGAGCGGGUACUUUAGAUGUUAGGAAGGGAGGAGUUUCUGGGAUAACGUCAUCAGUUUCAUCAGAGGGAGGGCUGCCUUCAUAGAAAGUCCUCCAGUAUGGACUAUUCUGCUUAACUUCAGCUCGCAACCAGUGACCGAAGGCCAUCUUCUCCUUACCUUCCAUCUUGGCUUCAGUGAAAGGUAUGGUUUGACAAUACAUGGCAUAAUGCCCUAUUUGUCCACAUGAAUAACAAAAAUGGGGAAGCCAUUUAUAUCGGAAGUCUAGCCAUAAUGCUUUGCCUGCAAUAUGAAUCAGUUGCCCUGUUUUUAAGGGAUCACUUAGGUUAAAUUCCACCCUGACACAACCCACUUUCGAAGUUGUUCCUUCUUUGGUAUCAAGCUUAACUUCCAACAUUCUUCCAAUGCUUCUUAUAGCUCUGCUUAACAUCUGAGUUGUGCACCAUUCUAGGGGAAGGCCAAAUACUUGAACCCAGAAUACACAUUUAGAAAAAUCAUAACAGUGGAGAGGAGUAUUCGGCUUCCAGGGUUGAAAAAUCACCAAAUUAUUAGAGAAUCGCCACAGUCCUCCCUCUUCUACUCUCUGUUUAUCACUCUCUAACUUGAAUUUAGCCACAUAGAUAUCCAUUUCUUGUUGAGAGAUUUGCACAUGAUCUGUACGCCAAGCACGCUGCAUUGUAUUCUAGAAUGCUGGUAGAUUAAUAAGGGAGUCUGAGAAAACCUUACCGACUAAUAUCCUUUGACAUUCUUCAAUUUUUUCCAGGGGUGGCGACUCAUCCCAGGUAUCGAUUUCCUGCUCUGACCAUAAUCGACCCAAUCUAUUACAAAGGCAUGCUUUCUGUUCCUGUUCAGGAUAGUCCAUGAUGAAAGGUCUCAGUUCAGAAAUCAGAGGAGGUAAGGACUGGAGUCGGCAUGCAAAGAGUAGUAGAUUAUUGGCUAUGUGGUUGAUAGAGGAUUAACGAAACUGAUAGAGACAUUGGGGUAAUUCAACAAACAGGUAACGAUCAUAAUUUUGCAGCUGAAAAAAGGAAAGAAGCAAGCGGAAUUGAUGGCUGAGAUAAUUGACAAGAGCAAAAGCAACACCAUCAUCGAUGCAACACAGCAGGGAAUUUGGUUGGGCUAAGAGGAUUCUAUAAAGGAAAUUGCGGGGAAGGUCAAGUUGGUAAACGAAAAUUCAUCGCAGUUGGGAGGGAAGCUUGUUAGAGAAGAAACGCUCUGAGGCACCAAGGAAGCAGAAAAACGGAGCUAUGAUUGCAAAGGGAAGGGGUAGACGAUAACUACAAGGUCACACAGGAAAGAGAUGGGAUUAAAAGUGAAAAUAAGGGUUCAGAAACAGAUACGAUGAAAAAAAAAAACUACCAUUGUUGGUAGAGGGAGGCUCUGCAUGUCAAGAGAGGACCCCAUCGAGGUUUCUUGUUGUGAGUUUUGUUAUGAAUAGGUUAAGUGGGAACAAGUGGACCUGUGAAACAUUUGGAAGCUUAUGUCUGGCUCACAACCCAAAGUUCGAGUUGAAGAAUGUUGAGGUAACAAGCUAAAAUGUCCAAGCUUGCCUUCAAUUGCAAUCACUUCAUGUUGUUGGGAUAGACUUCAUCGGAUGAAGCGUUUGAAUUGAUGCACGACUUGCAAUUUGCAUAGGCCUUAAAUACAUCUUUUAACUUGAUUUUUUCUGACAAAUUAGUUUUGUCUAAGGAGGUUGCUGACCUUGAUGUACAAAGGUGCAUGAAUAAUCUGUUGAACUCUGUGUGUGGGAAAAGAUAAGUGAAUUAGAUUGGCUAUCUCAAUAGAGUUGAAUGUGCUAAGAAUUAUUGUCUUGCUUGCUUUAGGUUUCACAUUUUAUGUGGAUCUUACCGCCUUGGAGGAUAAGACUUUAACUAAAUUGCAAGUUCCGUUGCUAAUGUUCACUUGUCAUCUACAUCUAUGAAGAAUAGGCUCCACAUUUCGUAUUAGCAAUCCCAUUGUCUCGUUUUUGGUGCAGUUAUGGGGCUUCACUCACUCAUCACGCCAUACUACAAGACCUGAAGUUGCAACAAGGCCUGCUCGCGCCGCUCUCCUCUGAAGUUCAUUCUUUAUUGUUUCAAUUUUGCCUAAAUAUAUCCACAUCUAUCCUCAGAAUUCUGUAGCCAAAUAGGUCUAUUUAUAUUACUUGUUGAGGCACCCUUCCAGGUAUGUGAUGGGGCGAAACGGCUGAUUGUACCGGUUACUUGAGACUUAUUCCUGUUUAAACUCAUUUCAACUUCAAAUGAAGCUUGCUUUCUAAGAGUCAGGAAUUCUUGUGGGUGUGCGCGGUCAUUUCUGUAAUCUGUUUUCUGAAAUGUGUGGAUUAAUAGAGAAGAGAAGAAUCGAUGGCAUGCAGACUAAUAUACCUGAGUGGUUCUUGUUUACCCAGAGGGAAUUUUACUUAGAAUUAGCAAUCUGUUCAUAAAGUCAAAUCACAAGAACAAGAGAUCCCUAAUUACAACAGGGUACAUAGAGGAGUAUCUAAGUCCAGAAACAAAAGCAGGCUUUCAAGGUUAAACCAAUGGGAUGAAAAACUAUUACGAUAAAUGUACACAGUUCUAUGAACAUUGCAACGAAAGAGUUUCACCUAGGCUAAACCUUUCGCAACAUUUCACAUUACAGCGGGAUUUUGCCAUCACCAUCCCUUUGAGUAGAUAACUCGCAUCUUGGUACAUGGAUUCAAUAGUUUAUUUGGUAAUUAGGGAAUAACAUUAUCGCCAGUUUCUUUAACUGGAGACUACAUUGUGCUUUGAUCCCAACGGUAUGUUUAUCAAGCUGUGCGUGCAAAUGCAGCCCAAUGAGGAUGGGUCAUUCCCGAAAUCUUGCACAGCAAUAGUAUACUCAAGAAGGCAAAUUUCAAAAAGAGUCGCUGAUCUUGACUAUAGUAUUACAAGAUAGUUCAUCCUCGAAUUCAGUUGCACUAUCCACAUUCCAGUCAAGCACAUUAAAACUCAAACUCUACUUACCAUCUCUCAUUAUUCUAGCAAACCAAAGAUGACUGAAUGGCCAUUCAUCGAGAGCAGACAUGAAACCCUACAUCUGGACAGAGUACUAAAAGCACGAUAAACUUACUAAAGAAUAGACUUUCGACACUAUUUUUUUCUUCAAAAUCCACAAGAUCAUUCAACAGCUCCACCGCCAAGGUAGGGAGAAACAAGGGUUUCCAAAUAGAUAGCAUAUUCGGUAAUAAGGUCCGUCCCUAAGAGAUAUUCCCUGCAAGUAUUAUCCUCCGGAUUAAACAUAAUCAUCCACUUCCUACCCAUCAAAAAAACAAUCUUUUCACUCCUUGUGUACGCAAGGGGAAUCUUCUCAAAGGGCGUAUUCAAGGCACUGCAAUCAACACUUAACCAUUUUUUCCACGGUGCUCCUAUCCUGUACUGAUCUGUAAUCCAUGCCUCAAUGCGGGGAUUUUGGGCAUUAUUGUAUAUGAACAGAUUCGCCCCAUGAAUCUCGAGUCCCAGGAGUAGUAUGCCGUCAUCAACUGCAGGGACUGGAAGCACCUGGUGAAAUUUCUCUUCCAACAAGUCAAAUGACAACAUCGCAGAAAAGCCCUCACCAUUCGUGUUCCAGACAUAGACGUCCCAGUGUAAGGCCCCUUUCCAAUAAACUGCUGGGCCGCAACAUUCGACUCCCUCUUCUUGGAACGGAACUUCUAUCAUCAUCAUCCUCCAGGAACAAGAUUUGAGCGAAAAUAUUGCCACCUUCCAAUUUUCAACUUCAACAACAACAUCCCCUACUACUAGGGCUAUUUUGUAGUCAUCAGAUUGAGAGUCAUAUCCGAAUCCAUAGAAUGAAUCAUAUCUGGCUCCACUACUGAAAUACAUAGCAUGAUCAACAAAAUCGGAACUGGGCAACUCAAUAUACUCCCCGGUGGUCGGGUUAUAUAUGACAAAAUUGGAGGGGCCAAGUAAACAUACAAGGCCAUCACAGGACCCCACGAUGCGGGACUCCCACAAAGGUUUGAUCCCAUGAGGUACCACCAUGCGACCCUCGCCACCGCCGUCGAGCGCUUCGUAGUCCACGGUCUUGAGGGGGCUGUUGCGGCCGCCGAUGAUGAUUCUCUGGCUAGGGAUCAAAUCCGCUGCCUUCACCCUCUGCAGAUGCGACUUGGCGAAGGCCCGGUCGGAGAUCAGAGACCGCCAGCGCUUGCAGACGCAUUUGAAUCGCACCAGCGACUUCGCCGGUAGCCUCAAGAGUAUGUCGACGACGACAUCCUCGGGUAUACUUUCGGCCAUUGUUUGGGCAAAACGGAAACAGGAGGGAUCUCGGACGCGGUCGAUUGGGUCAGCGAUGGCCCGUAGCCGGCUUUCUCGAGAGGUCCCAAGGCCACCGCCGGACACGGGCGGAGGGGGAACUCGCCGGCGUGGGCGGCGGUCGCGCGGUGGAGCCCAGCAGCUGGGCGGAGGCAAGGCGGAGGAGGAGGAGGAGAAGAGAGCUGGCGUGGAAUUUUCAAUUGAACAUAUU
rnacentral:lncRNA from 1 species